CCCCGCGGCCGCCCCCGGCCCCGGACGGGCCCGGCGCGGCGGGGCGCGGAGCGGUGCGGUGCGGUGCGGUGCGGGGCCGCCCCGGGCGGGCGCCCCGCGGGGUGCGGCGCUGCCUCCGCCCGCUGCGCUGCGCCGCGCCGCGCGGCCCGGGACCGCCCGGGCGCUGGGAGGGCCGUGGCGGGGCCCCGCUGCCCCGCGUUAACCGUUUUGUGGGGGUGGUGAGACCGGCAGGGCCGCGGGGGGCAGAGCCCUCCCCCGCGCAUCGGCCCGCAGCGGCGCCCUGCCGGCAGGGAGCGGCUCGGCCCGUCCGCCCGCUGCUCGCGCGCUUCCCUCGCCCCCUCGCGCACCCCCGGGAUGGGGCGCUGCAAACGCGGCGCUGCGGACAGGCGCACGCGGGGCUGCUGGCGGCUGCCAGCCCGGCAGCAUCUUCACUGUGCUGGGAAAAAUCGGUUUCCUGGUUUUCAGCCUGGCCAAAUGGCUUCAUUACACCGAGUGAGGCAGAUGCAGCAGUCUCUUGACACCAAAUGCAGUCCGGGUUUCUGAAAUGCAGAGGUUACGUCAGGUGACAUUUAUAACAGCGGUGCGUAGUGUUACCUGUUUCCAUAUCUUUGCAUUUUCACAGACUUGGGGAAUGAACCUUGUGUCUGAGUGAAGACUGCCCUUCAGACCCAUUUGUCUCCACACAAGCUGUUCUUUAAUGUCGUAAGAGGUUUCUCCGUCUCUUUGUGGGUGCCCUGCAGGCUGAACUGAAGAAACAACGGUCUCUACGACUCCACCAUGCAACGUGUUCAGCUCAACAACUGGAUCUCCCAUGGUGGCUGCGUUUAAACCAAAGGACAGACUGGGGAACCCAUCGAGACAGACCGGCAAAUCGGCCCCUGCGCUGUGCUCCCCUUCCCUGCCAAGGGAGGCGUGAGGAGGCAGUGUGCUCACGCGUCCUUCCCCAGCGUGCAGUGCAAAUGCGGCUCGGACCCACGCCUGGAUUCAAGAGCUGUGUCUCCUGAGGUAACCAGACUGAAGGACUGUGUCGCUCAGCUCAGGUACCACAGAUGCUGGCUGCAGUAAUUAAGGUUCAAAGACGAUGAAUCCUGUAUAUAUGGAGUAGAACCAUUUACAGAAAAACAUAACUUCUCCUUAGAACAGCCCAUCUUACAAGAUUACAAUUACAUGGCAGUUAUUUCCUUCCAGUAUUACAUGUCAGUAUACGCUUAUAUCCUUCCCGAACAGGUAGAAUAUUGCUUCCAGAGGCAAAGCUGUCAUGAGAAUCUCGAGCACAAGUACCCUCAGAAAUGUGACGCUCACGUUGAUUUUUUGCAUGACUCUUGCGCAACUGAUCACUAUGCAGACUGCAGAAACGACUGAUUGGAAUCUGCUGAAAGCAAUGAGUCAAGGGGCAUGUCAGCCUCUAGAGAAGAGGCACUUCCAUCAUUCAGUGAGAAAAUAUUACUGAUGUGUGGCUUUGGGGACAUGUUUCUGUAUUUUGAUUGCAUGAAGCACCAGAAGUGGCCUUGCCUGCAUUACCCACUGUUGCAAUGGACUGUGGAUCACCAAAAGAAAUGUCUGUUGUCCUCAUGUCAGGAAGUGUACUUUCUGCUAAGGAAAGAACUGGUGAAGUAUCUUUCCUAAUACGUACUGUACUUACUGCCUUUGAAGCACAUACCUUCUCAGAGCUAGGAGGGAAAGAGAUGGCUGUAUCUGACAUGAUACUACCAGCAAUGCUAGCUGAUUUUCUAGGUAAGGUAUAAUAGAUAACAAGUGGAUCAGGAGAUUUGGGGUUGUUUUU